CUCCUCUUAGGUUCACAUCUGUAGAGUUUCCAGUAUUCUACCAGUCUCAAAUAUGGGAGGGAGAGUUAAGUAGAGGUCUGUCCAUUCCAUUCCUAGCUUGGGCAGUGGCUAGAGAGUGGAAGGCAAUCUGCUGCAAGU